UACGUAGGGUGCGAGCGUUGUCCGGAAUUAUUGGGCGUAAAGAGCUCGUAGGCGGUCUGUCGCGUCGGAUGUGAAAACUCGGGGCUCAACCCCGAGCCUGCAUUCGAUACGGGCAGACUAGAGUUCGGUAGGGGAGAAUGGAAUUCCUGGUGUAGCGGUGAAAUGCGCAGAUAUCAGGAGGAACACCGGUGGCGAAGGCGGUUCUCUGGGCAUUACCUGACGCUGAGGAGCGAAAGUGUGGGGAGCGAACAGG
rnacentral:rRNA from 1 species